GUGUUGCAAUACAGAGACACAAAAAACAUGCACAAGCUCUCGAGGACGAGAGUUGGCUACCCGUGUAUUAAAGCAAGGCCUUCAGGAUGUAACACAUUACGUUUUCUGUCUGGUACGAUGCCCACCCGUGGACUUCGGACGUCAGAGCUGAGGCCGGAGCUGAAACGUUUCCCUCAGCUCCCCCGCGCACCCUGACUCAUGUUGACGUCGCAAUCGGACCGGCUGCUAUGCUCUGGAAUGAGGUCAUGCCAGAAAAGGAGCCGGGCUAAAGAUGUCGUGGAAGGUCAAGCUCUGCCUCUACACACUCACCCGAAACGAGAGAAAGAGAGAGAGUUUAGUCUUCAGAUGAGCUUCCUUCAGCCACCGUCCACUUGACCCUUUGCUCCUCAUGGACAGCCAGCCGAUUUGCUGUGUGAGUGAGGCUGAGCUUCACCAGCUGAACGAACUCCCCUCUUCCCCCCCCCCACAAGGCUGGUCUACAUUGGCCUUUUCACCUCAUCCAACCAUGGCUCCCCUUCCACCUUUCCCCAAAACAGCACCCAUAAUCCGUUGCACCUGCAAAAGCUCCGCACAGCGCAGCUUGCCAAGAGUGGAGCGUGUGACCUCGUCGCUGUGACCACUGAGUCUGCAAGAGAGAGCAAAGUCAAAAGAGUUGAUGAGAAAGGAUAAUAAAAGAGGAGAAGAGAAGGGGAAGGGCAAAGAGGGGAGCAUUUUGUUGCUUGCUCCGGUCAGUGCAGACAAGUAGGACAGUAGGAGAAGCAGGAGAGAUUGAGGUCAUAGUUCCCAGAUGCACCCAGAAAGAGAAGGCCUUUGACAGCGGGAGACAAAGGCACAAUUGUGGCUACCAAAAUGCAACUGUCAGAAAUCAGGACACACACCGAGAUACGCACACACAACGGCUGUGCAAAUUAGCUGAACCAUUAGCCCCCCCUUAACAUUGACGGAAUGUUUGACGGUCCCCUCCCCGUGCCCCCUGAGACAUGAUGUCACCCCAACAAAACGCAAGAAACCGCUUUUAAUGUGUCCGGAGCCAUGCAAUUAAAGGGGGAGACAGGGCGAAGGCGCGGGCCAGGGAACACAUUAAAACAUUUAAUUCUAAAAGAAAAGCCAAGGCGAGACGGGCACGGGUGGAUUUGUAGAACACGUUAUGAAUUGUGAGCAAUGAUAAUGGUGGGUGAAGAACCCAUUAAACCGAGAUGGGACGAUCCAUCUUUUCGCUGCCACUAAGGGUUACUCAGCUGUAAAUAUGUUACUGUGUAUUAAUCACUGGGUACUAUUAUUGUAAAUGAUGAUAUGAAGAGAUAGGACAGAUGCAAUAAUAAAAAAGGGGGUAUUUUAAAUGGCAAUAAAAAUUGCUAGCAUUAUUUCUUUUUUUUUAAAAAGUAAAGACAAUUUGUAAUUUUAGUAUUGAAACAAAGUCAAUGCACAAUUUGACUUUGCGGGCC